rnacentral:rRNA from 1 species
ACUCCUACGGGAGGCAGCAGUGGGGAAUAUUGCACAAUGGGCGAAAGCCUGAUGCAGCAACGCCGCGUGAGGGAUGACGGCCUUCGGGUUGUAAACCUCUUUUAGUAAGGAAGAAGAAGUGACGGUACUUGCAGAAAAAGCACCGGCUAACUACGUGCCAGCAGCCGCGGUAAUACGUAGGGUGCAAGCGUUGUCCGGAAUUAUUGGGCGUAAAGAGCUCGUAGGCGGUUUGUCGCGUCUGCUGGAAAACCGGAGGCUCAACCUCCGGCCUGCAGUGGGUACGGGCAGACUAGAGUGCGGUAGGGGAGAUUGGAAUUCCUGGUGUAGCGGUGGAAUGCGCAGAUAUCAGGAGGACCACCGAUGGCGAAGGCAGAUCUCUGGGCCGUAACUGACGCUGAGGAGCGAAAGCAUGGGGAGCGAACAGGAUUAGAUACCCUGGUAGUCCAUGCCGUAAACGUUGGGAACUAGAUGUAGGGGCCAUUCCACGGUUUCUGUGUCGCAGCUAACGCAUUAAGUUCCCCGCCUGGGGAGUACGGCCGCAAGGCUAAAACUCAAAGGAAUUGACGGGGGCCCGCACAAGCGGCGGAGCAUGCGGAUUAAUUCGAUGCAACGCGAAGAACCUUACCAAGGCUUGACAUGAACGAGAACGGGCCAGAAAUGGUCAACUCUUUGGACUCGUUUACAGGUGGUGCAUGGUUGUCGUCAGCUCGUGUCGUGAGAUGUUGGGUUAAGUCCCGCAACGAGCGCAACCCUCGUUCUAUGUUGCCAGCACGUUAUGGUGGGAACUCAUAGGAGACUGCCGGGGUCAACUCGGA